rnacentral:ribozyme from 2 species
CCCGUAAUGCAGCCUACCACGGUAGCCAGUCCCAAGCCUGGAAGAAAUGCAGAGGGCGGA